UUUCUCUCUGUCUCUCUCCACUGGAUUGCCCACUGAUUUCUAACACGUUAUCAGCACGUGCUCUCCACCGAGCGGAGACCAGAAGGCCGUGACGCUGCAUGAACGAGAGGUUCCAGAACAUAUCUGCCCUCGUAUGCGUGCAGCGCGAGAACAGGAGAAAACGAUGGCGUCGGCCAUCAGAGCCAAAUGAAAAAAAAGAAGAAAGGAUCAAAAGCAUGAAAAUCGUAAGUAUUUCAGUAUGUUAUUACCUACGUCUACAUGCAAUGCGCGUGGACAAUGUUUUUGUGUACGCGUGUGGGACUGGAACCCCACGGCUGUGCACUGCGCGUGGCACCCCUGCCCGCACCGCCGCUGGGCUGUGCGUCGGAGCCACCAGCCCAGGCUGCCGCCGAGUCGCGUGCCCGCCCAAGGCUAGGCAACUGCACAGGAACCGGGGCCGACAACCGUCGGGGCCUCGCCCGCGAGCCGCAGGGGCUGCACCGGCGCUCUGCCGGGUGGCCGCGCCCGCGCCGGGGGGCGCCUCACCUGCGCCGCCAUGGCCCACCCGGGGCCUGCCCCCGCGACGCUGCCGGGGCCGAGGGCUGUGCCAGAGCCGUGAAGCUGCGCGCCGGAGAGCGCCCGCCCGUCGCGCGCGCCUGGCCGGGGCCGUGCCACCGGGCCGCGAUGGUGCCGCCGGGGUCCGAGCGCCCGCGCCGCGCCUCGCCUGGCCUUGCGCCCGCGCGACCGCCGGAACGCGCGCCGACGCCGGGGGCCGUGCCCGCGCCGCCACCGGGGCCCUGGCUGGGGUUGGGGCUGUGCACCGGCUCGCACUGCCGCGGCCGUCCUCCCCAUGGCUGGAUCCCGCGCCCGCCUCGCAGCGGCUUGCUGUGCGCCGCCGGGCCUAGCCUCUUGCCGCGCCAAAGCCGCCCGCCUGGACGGGGCCGCACUGCCGGAGGACUGCGCCCGCGCGCCGACGCAGGGGAUCACGCGCCCAAGCCGUCGGGGCUGGGGGCCGCCAGGGUCGAGGGACGCCACACGCCCAUUCGUCGCCGGGGCCGAGGCCGCCGCGCCCCUGCUCGCCCACGCCGGGGGUCGGGCCGCGCCCGUGUUGUGCGCCGGGGAGGGGCUGUCCCGACGCACCCGCACCCGCCCAUGCCAGAGGAGCCCGGAUCGGAGCCGCCAAGACCGACUGAGUCACCAUGGCGGCGGCUGCAAGGUGGAAGAUGGACUUGCAAACCCUAACCGUCCUCGCGUCUCACUGCGUAGGCCGCGUCUGGCCACCUGGGUCGGCCGGCUGGGCCGCGUGUGGCCACCUGGGCCGCGCCUGGCCACCUGGGCUGGCUGGGCUAAAUUUGCUCUUUCAAUUUUCUAUAAUUUCAGACAUAUGUCUUCAUAUUCAUAUUUAUACAUAAUUACUAUAUUAAUCAG
rnacentral:misc_RNA from 1 species